UAUUUUUGCUUCGUAAUUGGUUCCGCCAGGAGGCGGAUUAAAAGGGAAACCGGUUUAAAUCCGGUGCUAUCCCCGUAGCUGUGAGUUCUUGCCGUGAAACGGCAAAUGGAAGACAUGAAAAUUGGGAUUAUAUUUUCACCUUUCACGUUUCACGACUGUUUAUAACUCCAUACCACUGUUGAUGCCGGCGGAACGCCUUAUCGAUGGGAAGGUUUAAUAACAGAGAACAAGCCAGAAGACCUGCCAGUUGCAUUUGCAUCAA
rnacentral:ncRNA from 2 species